CCCUUAGAUGUCCUGGGCCGCAUGCGCGCUACACUGAGUGUCUGAGAUACGAGUCUGCCUGGUCCGGCAAGGUCUAGGUAAUCGCUAAAAGACACAUCAUGCUUGGGAUAGAUUAUUGCAAAUAUUAAUCUUGAACGAGGAAUUCCUAGUAAGCGCAAGUCAACAGCUUGCGUUGAUUACGUCCCUGCCCUUUGUACACACCGCCCGUCGCUACUACUGAUUGGAUGUUUAAGCGAGGUUCUCGAACUGCUAGCGACUUAGCUUCGGUGAGGUCGCAGUGUGGGAGGUGAACCUAGCUUUGGUGUCUAGAGGAAGUAAAAGUCGUAACA
rnacentral:rRNA from 1 species